GCAGUGAUUGAGCCAUUCAAAUUUGCAAACUAGCACACACUUUCAAGCUCAUUUUUGACUAGAAAAAAGUAGCAGAAAAGAUUUAAGCGAGAACAAACCAAUAACAUGAUCAUCACCAAAGAGAAACACAAUUCACAACAGAAAUAAAAGAAAGGAAUAGAAAUGAACCUGUUAAGCUGAAAUCCUUCUAAAUAACAAUGGAAAAAUCAGCAAAUACACACUCCUCGAAUCGAAAGAAAAUCCGACGAGAAACAGCAAGCAAAAUCGAAUGACGGAACCAGAACUCGAACGACGAACACGACUCCGACCUCGAACAAACUCGAAUGGCGAACGAAUCUUGGCUCAAUCAACCUCCAUGUUGAAGCCGAAACCAAAAGAAGAAACUAAAAUAUUUUUUGGGAUAUUUUCUGAUUUUUUAAAAUGGAGACAAGUUGAAACAAAAAUCUAAACUCAAACUAUUUUUUUGGUAUUUUUGUUUUUCUGGAAUUUGAACUCAACUGAAAAUGGACCAAAAUGAGAAGAAAAGAAGAAACUCCCUCUUAAAACCCAAAUUUCUUUCCAAACCCUUUUCUCCAAAUUCUCUCCCAAAUUUCUGUCCCAAAAACCUCAAAUAUAUAUAGCAGCCCUAGAAACUUCCUCCUCCUCUCCAAGAAAACUCGUGUGGCCCCCAACAAGAUCCGAAAAUCCCACUUUUAACAAAAAUCAGAAAAUGGAAGUCUUGGAUCAAAAUUUUAAUCCAACGGCUCCCAAUUUCCAACAUUUAUCUCAAGGAUUCGAAUUUUUUGUUUAAACAAAAGAAAUAAAAGAAGAAAUCUACGUGAAUCGAAUUGAAAUGAUGAGAUUUGGUACAAUUUGAGUGACGUGGAAGAAGGAGAGGAAAGUAGGAGGGCCAGUGAGUGAACUCGACGGGUUUGGUGAGUUUUCCGGCGAGUUUGGGUAGCUUAGAGGUGGGCUGAAGCUUGAGAGGUUGGGAUGCGCCGUUUGGGUGUUCUUCAUUAGGGUUAGGGUUUGAAAAAAUGAUAUUUAUAUGGGGCGAGGGACUGAC
rnacentral:lncRNA from 1 species